rnacentral:rRNA from 1 species
CAUGUGGGGCAAGCGUUGUUCGGAAUUACUGGGCAUAAAGGGUGCGUAGGCGGCUUGUUAAGUCAGGGGUGAAAGUUUUCGGCCCAACCGGAAAAUUGCCUUUGAUACUGGCGAGCUCGAGUGCGUGAGGGGUAACCGGAACGAGUCGUGUAGCGGUGAAAUGCGUAGAUAUGACUCGGAAGGCCAACGGCGAAGGCAGGUUACUGGUACGCAACUGACGCUGAGGCACGAAAGCGUGGGGAGCAAACAGGAUUAGAUACCCUGGUAGUCCACGCCGUAAACGAUGAGCACUAGGUAGGUGCCGAGCUAUUCGGUGCCUGCCGCAGGUAAUUUGGUAAGUGCUCCGCCUGGGGAGUAUGGUCGCAAGGCUG